rnacentral:rRNA from 1 species
GCCCAACCGUAAUACAACAGUUAAACUACAAAUUGUUCGCCAAAUAACUACGAGUAAAAACUUAAAAUUUAAAAGACUUGACGGUACUUCACAACAACCUAGAGGAGCCUGUCUAAUAACCGAUAACCCACGAUUAACCCCACCCCCCCUAGCCCACAGUCUAUAUACCGCCGUCGCCAGCCUACCUUGUGAAAGAAAUAAAGUAAGCUAAAUAAUAUCACAUUAACACGACAGGUCGAGGUGUAACUAAUGGGGCGGAGAAAGAUGGGCUACAUUUUCUACCGAGAAUAAACGAAUGCGGCUACGAAAUAUAGCCACUGAAGGUGGAUUUAGCAGUAAGAUAAGAAUAAAACACCUAACUGAAACAUGCAAUGAAGUGCGUACACACCGCCCGUCAUCCCUGCAGUACCAUAAAAAAUAUAUAAUGAACAUCACCCCAAAACCAGGGCAAGUCGUAACAUGGUAAGUGUACUGGAAAGUGUACUUAGUGA